CGACCUGAAAUGUUGUCUCAGACCUCGAAUGGCAAAGGUGAGCAAGGUUUCAGGUUGUC
rnacentral:pre_miRNA from 1 species